GACGAACGCUGGCGGCGUGCUUAACACAUGCAAGUCGAACGGAAAGGCCUGCUUUCCCUUGUGGAUUGCGGGUACUCGAGUGGCGAACGGGUGAGUAACACGUGAGUGAUCUGCCCCCAACUUGGGUAUAAGCCUGGGAAACUGGGUCUAAUUCCCGAUAGGACUGCAGGGUGGUGCCUGUGGUGGAAAACGAUUUUCUAGUGGUUGGGGAUGAGCUCGCGGCCUAUCAGCUUGUUGGUGGGGUAAUGGCCUACCAAGGCGGCGACGGGUAGCCGGCCUGAGGGGUGGGACAGCCAUAUUGGGACUCAGACACGAACCCGACGCCUCCGGAAGGAAGCGGAUGGGAGCAUCGAACACUGGGCGGAGGUUUGAUGCUGCGACGCGGAGUGGGGGAUGUCGGCGUACGGGUUGUAGACUGCUGACGACCACGAGGAUGCUACCUGGUUGGAAGGGUAGUGACGGUAGUUGUAGAAGAAGCAACGGCUAACUACGUG
rnacentral:rRNA from 1 species